UACGUAGGGUGCAAGCGUUGUCCGGAAUUAUUGGGCGUAAAGAGCUCGUAGGCGGUCUGUCGCGUCUGCUGUGAAAACCCGAGGCUCAACCUCGGGCCUGCAGUCGAUACGGGCAGACUAGAGUGCGGUAGGGGAGACUGGAAUUCCUGGUGUAGCGGUGAAAUGCGCAGAUAUCAGGAGGAACACCGGUGGCGAAGGCGGGUCUCUGGGCCGUAACUGACGCUGAGGAGCGAAAGCGUGGGGAGCGAACAGG
rnacentral:rRNA from 1 species